rnacentral:rRNA from 1 species
AGCAGUCGCCGCGGUAAUACGAGGGGGGCAAGCGUUGUUCGGAAUUAUUGGGCGUAAAGGGCGCGUAGGCGGUUUGGCAAGUUUGGUGUGAAAUCUUCGGGCUCAACUCGAAGUCUGCACCGAAAACUGCCGGGCUUGAGUAUGGGAGAGGUGAGUGGAAUUUCCGGUGUAGCGGUGAAAUGCGUAGAUAUCGGAAGGAACACCUGUGGCGAAAGCGGCUCACUGGACCAUUACUGACGCUGAGGCGCGAAAGCUAGGGGAGCAAACAGGAUUAGAUACCCCGUAGUCCCUGUCUCUUAUACA